rnacentral:lncRNA from 1 species
ACAGUUGGGCUGGAAAUAUGAUGGAAUCGCAGAUCGCCGCCCCCCCCCCCGCCCCCAGAGCAUUAAAUUAUAGUAGAAGGGUUAACCUGUGGGUUUUGUUUUGCACUAGCACCUAUGUGCGAUUUGAGGGAAACAAUUCUCUUAGUGUAUCUGGGCUAAAAGUCUAGCCAAGGUCCUCUGAGGCAACAAAAUACUGCCAGUACCAGGAAACCAGUACUCCUAUUAAAUUUAACCUUCCGGGGAGCCAUGAUUUGUUUUUUUUAACAGAACCUCAAUAUACAAAUUUAUCAUUCUUCACAGAUGAAAGAUACAAGGAGGCCAAAAUCCAACUGAGUGGCACACGGCUUUGCAAUCACAACACACAGUACUGAAACACAAGACUGGUAUUUCACACUUGAUCUAACUCUUCACUUACAUAUGCCUUUUACCACUCAGCAAAAGAAGGACCGAGUUCAAGGAUUACUUUGUGGUGGAAAUCAGGCCUGAGGCUGCCUGUUGUACACAAGUAAGCUAAACCUUCAAAAACUUUGUAGACAGUCAAGAGCCUUUAUAUGUUCUCUUCCUCCCCCACCCCAAAACGCAAAAUCUUUACUAAUAAUGACACCAACAGCAAACUCAAACAGGAAGCUACACACACAUACACGAUUUGCAUGUUACCUGCCAAGACCAGGCAACAUGCAAAUAAUUACUCUACAUCAUAAGAUGUAAAGUAGCAAGGGAAAACUUCCCCCAGCCUCUAGGAAAAGAGAAAUUUGAUACUCAUCCCCAAAAAUGUACUCAGUCUACUCUAUUUAAGGAAAACCAAACAUAGAAAAGGAGGCGCGCACUGGAGGGGAAAGCUCCCCGGAGACAUGGUGGGACCAGAGGAACCACUGCUUUGAAACUGACGCUGCUUUGUUAUUUACAGUAAACGCUUAAAAAGAAAAGAAAAGAAACCGGAAACAGAGAUCCCCUGUUUAAGGGAACCAGGAGCUGCUGGGAGCCUGCGAGGAACGUGAUUGCUUGGAGAGAAACACCAGAGGGUUUACAGCAGCACAAACGGGGCCUGUGCUGUGCGCCCCACGCUGCCUGGGGACGCAGUCCUGGAGACUCCUAAGCCCAAGUGCUCUCGGCUCCGGCUCCAGGGCGCCUGUGUUCUGGGCGCCUGUGUUCUGGGCGGGUCCCCACCCACCCUUCCCUCUCCACCAGCUGGCCUUGACCGCCUUCUCCCUAGCUCUCUCUUUGCUCACAGCGCACCGCUGCCAAGCUCACUGCACGCCCUGUCAGAUCCGCUUCCCUGAACCCCAAGGCCCGGUAUUCGUCUCCCUAAGACGGAGCUGUCCUCUGUGCAGAAGCCCUGCAGUGACACCUCGCUUCCCCAGGGGAAUACCACUGCUUUCACCCAGCCCUUCCUACCCCCAACUCCAGGGCCCAGCUCCAUAGCUCCUGAUUCCAUCCCCCUUCCUCCUGGGAAAUCCCAGGCCCUCACGGCUGCAGCCCUCGCCUUGUAGAGUGGCAUUGCUAGGACACUUCCGUGGAUGAUCACGCUGCCUUGCUGCAUGAGCAUUGAAUCCUGAGUCCUGGAACAGCCCCUCUGUCCCAUUCAGAGGCACACAAAGCACCACAGAAGAUGCUGGUAGUUAUGGAAGAACGAUGACUACAGCAAUAGACUAAAGAAUGCCUUUCACCUGUCCCUCAGAGUUAGGGUCUGAAAACUGCACUGCAGUUACCCAAGGCACUUCUUACCAUACAGACUCCUGGUCUCCAGUCUGAACUUGGGCAAAGCAUUUUAGCCAGAGCCUCAGAUGCCUUAGUCUCCCUGUGGUUUGAAAACUACCCUAAACAAACAUAAAAACAAAGUCUGGAUUUUCCCCAUAGACGUGUGUUUCUCCAAGGGAGACAGUGGAUGAUUUCAGGUAGAGCUCAGCUAUUCACUGACAUACGCGCAGGAAAAUGCUCCCACUUGUAAUCUGCAUGGAGAUUUAAGAGAAAUCUAAUACUAACAUUUGCUAUGAAUAAAAAGGAAGCCUUGGGCCGGGGAUUUAGCUCAGAGUUUCCACUGCCUGUCUUGCAAGCACACGGUCCAGAGUUCGAUCCCCCCAGUACCAAAAAAACCCCCCAAAAAAUGGAAGCCUCUCAUGGUUUAUACCUAGAUGUCCCCCCAAAGCCUCAUGUGCUCAUGGGAGGGGCUUUUGGGAGGUGUCUGGAUCAUGAGAAUGUGGAUUAAGACCACUGACUGGUGAGCAUGCUUCUGGGUAUGGACAGUGGUAAGGCCCACCCUGGGUGUGAGUGGCACCAACCAAUAGGCUUGUAGCCUGAAUGGAAGAAAAAGGAAAGGAAAGCUCACUGCUGCUGUUUUGCUGCCUCCUGCCUACCAUGCCAUAGACUGUUUCUCCUCUGCCAGACACCUCUGCCAUCCCUCCCUGCCCUGGAGCCAACUGGCUGGGGACUGAAACAUAUACAACCUGUGGGCUAAAAAUAAACCUUUCCUCCUUUAACUUGUGGGUGUCAAGUAUUUUGUCCCGGCAACAAUAAAGUAACUAAAACAGAUUUUGGUACUGAGAGUGGAGUCACUGCUGUG